GGAUGGCUCAGUGGGGGGAGCAAGACUCUCGAUCUCGGCGUCGUGGGUUCGAGCCAUAGCUGUCAACU